rnacentral:rRNA from 1 species
UACGUAGGGUGCGAGCGUUAAUCGGAAUUACUGGGCGUAAAGCGUGCGCAGGCGGUUCGUUAAGUUCGAUGUGAAAGCCCCGGGCUCAACCUGGGAAUUGCAUUGGAAACUGGCGGGCUUGAGUGUGGCAGAGGGGGGUGGAAUUCCACGUGUAGCAGUGAAAUGCGUAGAUAUGCGGAGGAACACCGAUGGCGAAGGCAAUCCCCUGGACCUGUACUGACGCUCAUGCACGAAAGCGUGGGGAGCAAACAGG